rnacentral:rRNA from 1 species
UACGAAGGGUGCAAGCGUUAUUCGGAAUCAUUGGGCGUAAAGGGUGUGUAGAUGGUAUGUUAAGUCUGUUGUUAAAUGCUCCGGCCUAACUGGAGACCUGCGAUGGAAACUGGCAUGCUAGAGGGUGGAAGAGAGAAGUGGAAUUCUCGGAGUAGCGGUAAAAUGCGUAGAUCUCGAGAGGAACACCAAUGGCGAAGGCAGCUUCUUGGUCCACACCUGACAUUGAAACACGAAAGCGUGGGGAGCAAACAGG